AACGAACGCUGGCGGCAGGCUUAACACAUGCAAGUCGAACGGAUGUAGCAAUACAUUAGUGGCGCACGGGUGAGUAACGCGUGGGAACGUGCCCUUAGGUACGGAACAACCUCGGGAAACUGAGGCUAAUACCGUAUAAUAUCUUCGGAUCAAAGAUUUAUCGCCUAAGGAUCGGCCCGCGUUGGAUUAGGUAGUUGGUGAGGUAAAGGCUCACCAAGCCGACGAUCCAUAGCUGGUCUGAGAGGAUGAUCAGCCACACUGGGACUGAGACACGGCCCAGACUCCUACGGGAGGCAGCAGUGAGGAAUGUUGGACAAUGGAGGAAACUCUGAUCCAGCCAUGCCGCGUGAGUGAAGAAGGCCUUCGGGUUGUAAAGCUCUUUUACCCCUGACGAUAAUGACGGUAAGGGGAGAAAAAGCCACGGCUAACUUCGUGCCAGCCGCCGCCGUAAAAC
rnacentral:rRNA from 1 species